rnacentral:rRNA from 1 species
UGUAAUUGGAAUGAUGGGAAUGUAAAACCCUUCCAGAGUAACAAUUGGAGGGCAAGUCUGGUGCCAGCAGCCGCGGUAAUUCCAGCUCCAAUAGUGUAUAUUAGAGUUGUUGCAGUUAAAAAGCUCGUAGUUGGAUUUCUGUCGCGGUCAGUCGGCGGCGCCCGUAUGGGUGUGCGCGUGAUUUGCCCGCGACAUUUUUCCGGUAGCCAUCGGCGCUUAAUUGCGUGCGGUGUGUGUUCCGGAACUUUUACUUUGAGAAAAAUAGAGUGUUUCAAGCAGGCUUGUCGCCCUGAAUACUGCAGCAUGGAAUAAUAAGAUAGGACGUUGGUUCUAUUUUGUUGGUUUCUAGGACCAAUGUAAUGAUUAAUAGGGACAGUGGGGGG